GUCUUCGUGGUGUAGGGGCCAGCACGCUCGGCGCGUAUUCGAGAGGUCCGUGGUUCGAGUCCCGGUGAGAGCA
rnacentral:tRNA from 1 species